rnacentral:lncRNA from 1 species
GGUAUAUGAAGAUGGAAGAAAUAUAAGCAAGCAGCUCUUGAGCUUUAGAGCUCUGGCUCUGGCUUUCCUGCUCUGAUGAUGCUCUUUUGGUGAUGACUGGCUCCAUGCCCUGUACUUUAUUGGGGAAUUAACUCACUCACCUCACAAAAGACUACAUUGACUAAAUGAACCCCUCCGCUGGUGGCCUACAGACACUAGUGUCGGGGGCGGAGACGGGUGGAGAAUCCCCGCAGUCCCUGGCCUGACUCUCCCGACAACACAGAAGAUUGUGGAAGAAUCAGACAGAGAUCGAAGUUGUACUUUUAUUCAGCAAGCAUGCAAGAGUACAGCUGCCUUUUCUCAGCGAGACAGGGACAAUAGGCUUAAAGUGAAACUAUUCUGAGUGAAGUUGGAUAUAUGGCUGCUCUUUAUGUAAAGAAAAUAGAUUUGUCUCAGAAGCUGGCAUCAUUGGAACGGGC